UAAGGGAAUUCUUAUUGCCGUUAACCCGUUUCAAAGACUUCCCGACUUAUACGACGUAAAGAUGAUGGAACGAUACAAUGGAGCACCAUUUGGUGAAUUGAGUCCACGUGUAUUUGCAAUUGGAGAGGCUGCCUUCAGAGACAUGAUGAAUGAGGGGACAAAUAACUCAAUACUGGUAAGCGGAGAAGUGGUGCUGGUAAGACUGAAACUACUAAGAUGCUUAUGCAAUAUCUUACUUAUUUGGGUGGCCAUAAAGAAGGUGAAGGAAGAUCAGUAGAACUGCAAGUUCUUGAGGCAGGUUUUGUCUUCUAAUUUUCUAUUUAAUCACUGAUAAUCUUAUCAUUCAUGGUUUAUUUUCUUUCAAAAUAUUAUCUUGAAAAGGUUCUCAUGUAGAAUAUGUUAUAACGAUAAUUCUUUCGAAUUAGUGAGUAGCAAAGUUUGACUAGUUGAACUGGUACCAUGUGUACAGUCAAAGGUGUUUCUGGAAAUGAAGUGUACUGUUUGCCAGGUAAGGUUUACAACUUCAAAAUGUGGUUAGGAAAUACUUUUUCCUUUGCCUAUUAAGUGUCCUAUUUUAAAAAGUAUUGUCCCCGAAUAACUCUCUUAUUUGAAAAUUAUAUGCAGAAAUGAUGGCACCAAAUUUACCCUUUGUUCAGUUUUUCAAUAUUAUGACUUUGCAGAACUCUUCAUAUUCCCCAUAAUAAUUAGGGGAGAAACAGUAAACCUUCCCACUUUCUUGGAAUACGAGUUUUGAUGGUCGGGAACACUAACUCGGCAAUUACCACUGUUUUUUUACCUUUUGUGUGAAGCGCCAGAGGAGAUAAGCCGCUUCUACACCAUCUUCCUGUUUAUGCUUCAUCAAAAGCCAGUAAUCAUAUUUCUUAUUAUUUUUGUCAGGACAUUAAGAAGUAUAAGCUGGGACAUCCAUAGACAUUUCACUACCUAAACCAAUCUACUUGAUUUGCGCUAGAUGAUGUGGAUGAUGCUCAUGAUUAUUAUUUAUUUGGCAACAAGGAAAGCCAUGAAUGUUGUUGGAAUUGGUCAAGAAGAGCAGGAUUCAAUCUUCAGAAUUGUCGCAUCAAUUCUCCAUCUUGGUAAUGUUAGAUUCCCCAAGGGGGAAGAGAUUGAUUCAUCUCGAGGAUGAGAAAUCAAAGUUCCAUCUUCAUACAGCAGCAGAGCUUUUAAUGUAGAAUAGGUCAUUUAUACUUGCAAGACUCCCUUUUUUCGCAUUAGUGUAAUAAUUGUCAAUAUUAGGUGUGAUUCUAAAGCUCUGGAAGAUGCGUUACUGAAGCGUGUGAUGGUCACUCCAGAAGAAGUUAUUAAUAGAUGUCCCGAUCCUGAUGGUGCAAUAGUUAGUAGGGAUGGAUUAGCUAAGACUAUAUAUUCUCGCUUGUUUAACUGGUUGGUGGAAAAAAUAUAUUUAUCCAUCGGGCAAGAUUCGUCUUCGAGAAGUCUAAUUGGAAUCCUUGACAUAUAUGGUUUUGAAAGUUUUAAAACUAAUAGCUAAGCUUUGAUUGAAUGGAGAAACUCUGUAUAGGGCCAUAGACACCCGAACUAACUAAAAGUUUAUGGCUGCAGUUUCGAACAGUUUUGCAUUAAUUUUACCAAUAAAAAGGUACAGCAACAUUUUAAUCAGCAUGUUUUCAAGAUGGAGCAGGAGGAAUAUAUCAAAGAAGAGAUUGCCUGGAGCUACAUAGACUAUGUGGAUAACCAAGGCGUUCUAGAUCUUAUCGAGAAGAAACCUGGAGGAAUCGUUGCUCUUCUUGAUGUGGCCUGGUAUGGUAACACAUGUCAGCCUUUAGUAUGUUCCCAAAGUCCACACAUGAAAUAUUUGCAGAAAAGCUUUAUCAGACAUUUAAACCCAACAAGCAUUUCAUCAAACCAAAAUUGUCACGUACUGAACUUGCAAUUGCUCAUUAUGCUGGAGAGGUUCAAUACCAAUGUGAUCAGUUUUUGGACAAAAACAAAGGUUAUGUUGUCCCUGAACAUCAAGUCCUACUAACUGCUUCACAAUGCCCAUUUCUAGUAGAACUUUUUCCUCCAAUCCCAGAAGAGACAACCAAAUCUUCAAACAAGUCUUCUAAAUUUUCAUCAAUAGGUUCUCGCUUUAAGUUUCAAUUUCAACAAUUGAUGGAGACACUGAAUUCUACAGAACCUCACUACAUUAGAGUGUGAAACCUAAUACCCUUUUCAAGCCUUGUAUUUUUGAAAAUCCCAAUGUCAUGCAGCAACUCCGUUGUGGUGGUGUUUUAGAGGCAAUUAGAAUUAGUUUAUCUGGUUAUCCUACUCAUAAGACUUUUGAUGAAUAUUUCAACGGUUUUCUAUUCUGGUCCCAGAAUUGGAAGGAGACACUGACACACAAGCUGCAUCCAUUAUGAUCUUGGAGAAGAUGGGCAUUGAUGGAGCUCAGAUGGUUAUGCCGAAAUACAUUUUGUUGAAUUUCUGAACAAUUUGAAAUUUUCAGGUACUCCUAAUCAUUGUUGUUGAAAGUUGGACUCCUAUCAUGUUGUUUAGAAAUGUAGAUCACUCACAUGGAUUGUGUAAUGGGACCUGAUUGAUAAUUGUUCAAUUAGGUGACCAUGUUUUGGAGACCGAAGUUUUGGGUGGUCAUAUAGUUUUGAUUCCUCGAAUGUCCUUGGCAUCUGAUCCAAGGUUGCCGCUCAAGUUUCAACGGUGACAAUUUCAUUUGGUUGUGUCGUAUGCUAUGAUGAUUAAUAAAAGUCAAGGUCAAUCACUUUUGCAUGUUGGAUUGUAUUUGAAGCCUGUCUUGUCUUCAGUCAUGAACAACUGUAUGUUGUUGUAUCAAGAGUUAUAAGUCGUGAAGGAUUGAAUAUUUUAGUUUGUGAAGAUGAAGUUGAUAGCAGUGGUGUUUACAAAGAAGUGUUUCAAAACUUAUGAAUUUUUAGUCUGGUGUUCGCUUCUAAGUUUGAAUUUACAAAUGUCUUUAAUCCUUACUUUGUCAUACUAUUUUUUUAAAAAUUUGUUUACAAUUUAUGUUUAUAUUUCAAAAUUUAUUGGUCUCAUAUAUAUAGUACAGGAGUCAUUUUUUCUUUUAUUAUUGUUCUAUUCUCAUUAGCCUUCUAUAUUAUACUUUUGUUCUCUCUUUUCGUUGCAUUUUGCAGGAUCUGGAAAGUGGAAAAAUGGCCGGGAGGAGGCAUUCGGUGACCUUUUCUGAUGGAAGUUGUUCUGUCAGUGUGUUGUGUGUAUAUCUUCCCUAGUUAGAAAUUAGUUGGGCUAGAUUUUAACAAUUUGAUGUCACAGCAGAUACCGCAGUUAACAUGGAACACCACCCACUUCUUGUACUGACAU